GUAACUCAGUUUUAGGAAGAUUAUCUUGUUGCACCCAGAGUUGUUCAUAAAUGAAGUCUGUCAAGGGAUUUUCCUGCUUUCAGUUGUUCCCCAGAAAUGUCAGGGUUAAUAAAUAGAAUGAUCUUUCAAAAAAUAUAUUUUUAUUAAAGUUCUUUUUCUUUCUGUACUAUCCCAAGGUAGUAUAGGACUUGUACUAAGUGUGCCCCUGGGAGUGGUGCUUACAUUAGAAGACAAGUUGUCAGAGGAGAGCAUAACUCCUCAGGGAUUUUUCCAUUUUCCUCUCUGGCAUAGAUUUAGGAGUCUGAAGUGGUAACUAAGGUCACCACUUUGUUCACAAAAUGGCACUGAGGUGACAGGAUCCUUUCAAACCAUCUGAAUGAGUAAAUUACUGAUCACUUCUGUACCAACAGAAAAUAAAUGGUCUUUUUAGAUAAGAACCAGCAUUUCUUAUCUUCUUGGAUUAAUGCCCCAUAGGUAGCACUGUUCACUGCGUAUACCCUAAGAACCUCUGGGCAAAGGUGCCAGGCAACACAGUAGUGACUGUAGCUUAGGUACAGAAUGAUUGUGUAGUGCUGGCGUCAGUCAGCAAGCAUCCCUUACCUGCAGAGUACUGCUGCACAGUAAUUACAGGGUAGGCUAUAGCUGAGGAGUGUCUUUGAUGUGUAUGACCAGGCUGUGGGUGUGAUGCUCUCAACCACUGUUGCAGCACGUAUGAGAGCAAUUACGUUAGCUGGGCUGUGCUGCACCCAUGAUUUUCCUCCCUAAUGCCAUAGUCACUUGAUGUAACUGCAAACAGCCCCAUCCACUAGAUAUCUGUAUUCCUCAAACUACUGAUGAUGUGGAAUGCAUACCCAGGUGGAUUUGGGUGGCUUGCUGUCCUUUCUUCUGAGAGAGGGAAUAAAAUACUAAAGAGUUUUUUACUUCUGCAGGAAACAUAACUAUAGUAACAAACCCCAAAUUAUAAAAAAGUAUCUUUUGUGUUUGAGGUCCUUAUUGUCAAUGUUCUGUGUUUCUAAUAAAAAAUUGAGACAAAGUAAAUCAUUAACUAUAGUAGCUGAAGUCCUCUUUGCAAGCAGACAGUGCAAACAAUUGCCAUUGAUACAUGCUCGGGUAUUUUUAGAGCGCACCAUCAUUCAUCUUUCACCCUCAGUAGGUUUCAAUUAAAUGGGAGAAUAACUCAAGAGUAGCUGUGCUUGGCUAACAAGAUUUCAGUUAUAAUAAGGUUGAAGCCCGAAAGCACCUUUGUGUGGUCAAAAGAUGGGGAAUCCAGCUGUUUUAAGAGUCAUAUUCAAAAGGCUCUGAUUUAGAUUGUUCAAAAUGUGCUAGAUUGUUUUCUUAGCACAUUGUAGUUUGUAGUUUAAAACAAACAACUUUUUCUGAGGAGAUUUAACAUAAACUGUUAUAUACCAAGGAAGUCUUUAUUUUGACUUGUUUACUAUAUAUCAAUGUUAAUAUGCUCUGUUUGGUUUUUUUUUAAUGUAGGUAUGUUAAAUAAGGAAGGAUGCUGGAUUAAAUUCAAGUGACAUAACUGGCUGUUGCUUCAACAGUUGUACCUUCCAUCUUUUCUUGCAUGAGACUCUAACUUUAGAAAGUUAUAAAGGUAUAAAGGGAGAAAUUAUCCUAUGAUUUUCAAUUGAAAAUAUGCAGCUAGAAUAAGUAUGUAGCAGCCCUUUUCCAGCACCUAUUGAAAUACAAAGGAAGCAUCUGAACUAAGUGAGAUUUCUCUGAUGCUGGUGCAUUUCUGAUGGUUAGAUAUCUAGAUAUCUACUAGAUAUCCAUAAUGUAGUGUUUCCAGCCAAAAGAAUGAUAAACUUCACAAAACUUAUUUUUUGCUAUUGAAAAGUCUAGGAGCUCUUCAGCUGUGUGAAUCACAGAAUGGUUUGGGUUGGAAGGGACCUUAAAGAUCAUCUAGUUCCAACUCCCCUGCCAUGGGCAGGGACACCUUCCACUAGACCAGCUUGAUCAAAGCCCUGUCCAACCUGGCCUUGAACACUGCCAGGGAUGGAGCAUUCACCACUUCCUUGGGCAGCCUGUUCCAGUGCCUCACCAUCCUCACGGUAAAGAAUUUCUUCCUUAUAUCUAACCUAAAUCUUCCUUGUUUAAGCUUGAAUCUAUUACUUGUUGUCUUGUCACUCAGUCCCUGAUGAAGAGUCUCUCUCUGGCAUCCUUGUGGGCCCCCUUCAGAUACUGGAAGGCUGCUAUGAGGUCUCCACGCAGCCUUCUCUUCUCCAGGCUGAACAGCCCAAAUUUUCUCAGCCUGUCUUUGUACAGGAGGUGCUCCAGCCCUCUUAUCAUCCUUGUGGCCUUCCUCUGGACUUGCUCCAACAGCUUCAUGUCCUUAUGUUGAGAAUGCACAACUGCACACAGUACUCCAAGUGGGGGUCUCAUGAGAGCAGAGUAGAGGGGCAUAAUCAGCUCCUUUAACCUGCUGGUCAUGUUCCAAGAUAUGGUUGGCUUUCUGGACUGUGGGUGCACACUGCCACUGUAGUACUGCCCUUGCUCUAGCACAGAUCGUUGUCAUAUAGGGUGCUGCAGUUUAUUAAGAGGAGUGUUUAAAGUCUGAAGUUAAGAAACUGGAGGUUGUACCAGCUUUUUUGUUGAAUAGCAAAGAAUGAUAUUGUUAUGAGAAGUACAAGCAAUAUUGUCAAGUUGUAGAUAUGCAACGAUAAAAUUGAGCAAUAGUUUAUGUGACUUAAUUAGAAAUAUUCCCAGGAUAGAUUGAUUCAAGAUCAGUUUGCUUUCUGUAUUCCUGACAUUUUCACUGUAGGCUCUUGCUAUUUGUGGGCUGGCGAUGAUUCAUGCAUUAAUCACUAGUCCACACUUACACUGCCUGCGCAAACUCAACAGCUGCUUUCCUGCAAAGCCCAGUGAGCUGUUCCUCUGCCCUAAACUGACUGGGAUGAAGAGUAGGCAGGACCUUCCUUCCUUUGGUGCCUUGAUUUGUUGUUUUGUGGUUUUUUGACUUUUUUCUCUGUUCCUACGUCCCUCGUGUUUCAUUCUUUCAUCUGCAUUCCUCCAAGACCACAGGAGCAGAUGAUGCUGCAGCACAGUUGUCGCUCUGAUUGCCAUCCCCGUGCAUGUCGGCUUGCACACAGUGAAGCAGUCCUCUUGCUGCUUCAUCAAGGACAGCUCAGUGUCUCGUGCUGGAUGCGUCUGUCUCAUCACUGACACUGCAAAUCCAGCAGCUGCUGAACACUUCUUAAGGAGAAAUGGGGUUUUAUAGUGUUCGUUCCACACUAAUGAAGUCGGGAUUCAUAGCAUGGUAUGAACUUAACAUGGUGAAAAUUUAGCAGUUAUACAGGUCGUAUUUCCUACUGUUUGUUCACCCUCCUUAUUCUCUCUUACUUAAACUGAUUUGUAAUCUCUUCAUUCCUAGAAUCUCUCUUCCAUUUAAUGCUUUCCGGUGUCUCUGCACUGUCUUCUGUUUUUCUCUGUAUCAUCUGUAGUGGCCAGGUCUGUCACAGUUUCCUUUAGGUCAACAACAUUUUUCUUAAAUGUUUUUCAGUCUUUUCUUUCUUCUGUAUUUAUUUUUAAAACUGGUUUGAUGUGGGGUUUGUUUUUUUUUUUUUCCUCUUUUGCUGCCUAUUACUUGUUUAUUUUUAGCUUUAAAAUUGCCAAGACUUUUAAUAGCUAUCAAACAAGGGAGUCAGCAUGCACACUGCAUGUUUUCAUUCUAGCACAAUUUCCAUUGGUAGUGUUAGUUCAAGUAGCCGUGGACUUUAUUCCCUGCCUCUACCUUGUUUUCUAUACUGCACUAGAAAUCUUCAAGAAAGUGUAAGCACGUUGCUCUUGGGCAAACAAGUGCUUGGGUAAAAUGUAAACAAGUUCCAGAUGUAAAUUCAAAUCGAAGGAAACUUUGCAAAUUGAAGCUUCCAUGCAGAAGAGGAUCAACUGUUUCUAGUACCGCUCUGAACUGCUAUAAGUAAUAUCUUUGUGAAUAUAUGUUUCUUAAUGAACAUUGAGCUGGACAGAAGGGCAAAGGUAGUACAGUUUUGGUUUGAAACACCAGCUUUCUACACUAUCUGUUCUCAAGAGAUUUCUCUUUUCUGCCUAUCUCUGGUUUCAAGUCUAGACUCUUCAAACAACUGGGUAAAGUGUAUGAAUUCCUGCUUAAGUUCUGUCUCCCUUUAGUGCUGGGGGAGGAUAUAUUGUUGCUAAGGGGAAAGAAACAAGGGAAAAUGCUUGCCGAGUGCCAAAGACAUUGUUUCCACUGUGUUCCUACAACUGAAGGUCCUUCUGUCAAAGUCCAGCUGACAAGAGUAAAAUUUUUCCUAAUAAUUGUCUUAAUACAAUUGUAUGCACCAUAGUUUUGGAGUGAAAAGUUUUAAAAUUGGGAUUUGCUUUUUCAGAACUUCUUGGGGAGAGAAGCUGGCUAAUGGAUAAUCCUUUGUCUGGACCUUUUUGCUAUAUCAGCAGUUGAAUGGAUUAGCGUGUUUGACUCUAAAGCUUAGUUGCUGGAGAUAGAAUGCUUUAUGUUUUGCAACUGCUUUUGUAUUUUAUCAGGGUUUCUGCAAGACUGAAGUUGUUGGAAAUGCAGGCUGAUAAAGUGGUAGCAUGAAAAUCCUGCAGGCCUUCUGCAGUGAGGUUUGCUUUGGCUGUGUGUGUGGUGACAAGUUGAGAACCAGAAAAAAAGAAAGAACUUGAAAGACCUUGGUAUGAUUUCAGGUAUAGGAGUGCUGUCCAGUUAGCCCUUACUGCAAAUGAAGUAAGAGAGAACCUGCUUUUUGGCUGUAUCCAGCCUGCUGCAACGCAUUCCCUUAGUGAAGCUCCACUGGCAGUGGAUGCUGGUCUGCUGUCAGAAAGGAUAAUCCUGUGCUCUUCUUGCUGUAUGUUCUUUCCCUGUUAAGUCACUACUAGUGUAGUCAGUUGUACUGGUAGGCUGGAGGGGAGUUAGUGAGGGAAAAGCUGUGCUUUGGUCAGCAGCUCAGUCUGAGGUCAGCUUAAACCAGUCAUGAAC